CCCAAUGGUGAGCAAAACCUCAGUGUCAGAUGGAACACACUGUGAUGACCUGUGGAUAGAAGUUUUUUUUCUUUUCCAGUCGACUUGCUAAUGUCUGCUGGCGUUCUUUUAGCUAAAGUCUUGAGAUCUGCUCCUGGGCCAGGAGGUGGGGAGACAAUGCAGAAAUUGCUUCCUCUGGAACAGCCUUCAUUGGAAUUCUGCGAAAGUGAAGGCCAUUUGGAACUUAGAGAGAGAGAUGCUGAAAUUGGUCACACAGCCGCGAGUCUCCAGGCCCGGACAGAUGUGUUCUAUACACUUGUUUAAACACGGCGCUCAUUAGGAGGUAAUGCUUGUAUAGCAAGUUGAUUACAGCACAGAGCAGGACGCUUUAUCACGGGGCCUCUCAGGAGGCCGCGGGAGGGGCCGUCAGCUGGCGCUGUCACUCUCCCCUCCUCGCAUCCUGAGUGACGGCUGGGCCGCCACCUCCUCGGCGGCCUGCUCGGAAGUACACAGCUUCCCGUCAGAGCGCGCCGAGCUGCCUGGGAGGAGGUAUUAAUUGUUGUCAGCCUCCAUUUCACACCCCAGAUAACAAACGAGAGCCACCCUGGCAGUGUUGAAGGAAGAUAAACAAGUUGCCUGAGCCCCUGCAAUUAAACACGCUUGCAUAUUCAACCGAGAUGCUUCCUGUAAAGAAAGCAGGGCCACCCUGAGCCAUGGACACAGCAUCCUUCCACCGCCCCACCUGGAAGCUGCCCACACCCCACGGGGCUCAGAGGCGCACCCCACCCUUGCAGUGUCUCUGGUAAACGGCAUCUCUCCAUCUUGAUCCAAAUGAACAACAGAGGUCAGUGUGAUGGGGAAGGAGUGGAAUCUCUUUAUCUCCUUUCUCCUGGGAGAAUGGUCAGAGGAAAGGAUUCUGGAGCCAGACCACCUGAGCAUAAAUUACGGAUCUGCUUUUAUAAGUGGUGUGACCUUGCGCGAGUAGCUGCCUUGAGCCUCAGUGGUCCCAUCUGUAAAAUAGGUAUGAUAAUAACAUGCACCUCCUGUUUCACGAGGAUUGAAUGAGGCUAAAGUUUGCGGCGACCCUGAUCUGAUGUAAGGGGUGCGAAAACAUUAGUUAUCAAUAGCAGUCAAGUUAGCAGGUUUUACUUUCACCUUUUUUUGUGUGUGAAGAGGAUCGGCCCUGAGCUAACAUCUGUUGCCAAUCCUCCUCCUUUUCCUUGGGGAAGACUAUCACUGAGCUAACGUCUGCCAAUCUUCCUCUAUUUUAUAUGCGGGAUGCCGCCACAGCAUGGCUUGAUGAGUGCUGUGUAGGUCUGCACCUGCGAUCUGAACGCAUGAACCUGGGCUGCCGAGGUGGAGUGUGUGACCUUAACUACCACGCCACUGGGCCCGCCCCAUCACCUUUUAGUUAAUAAAAUUGUUUAGCAGUAGAUGGUUAGAAGCAAGACUUGCAGGUCAUCCCUAAGCUGAGUAACAUGAGGCCCACGUCUGGUGACAGUGCUCUUCCCUCCAUAGCCUGAGGUGGACUGAACUCAUCCCAGAAGCUGCCGCCAUGCGGGGUGCACCCUCUGUUCGGACCCUGAUGUUUACACUGUGAGGAGAAACUGAGGCAGCUGGGACAGAAGUUCUCUGCUACUCUAAGCUGGUCCUUACUGUGUGAGUUCAAG
ensembl:lncRNA